CGAGCGGUAGAGAGAAGCUUGCUUCUCUUGAGAGCGGCGGACGGGUGAGUAAUGCCUAGGAAUCUGCCUGGUAGUGGGGGAUAACGUUCGGAAACGGACGCUAAUACCGCAUACGUCCUACGGGAGAAAGCAGGGGACCUUCGGGCCUUGCGCUAUCAGAUGAGCCUAGGUCGGAUUAGCUAGUUGGUGGGGUAAUGGCUCACCAAGGCGACGAUCCGUAACUGGUCUGAGAGGAUGAUCAGUCACACUGGAACUGAGACACGGUCCAGACUCCUACGGGAGGCAGCAGUGGGGAAUAUUGGACAAUGGGCGAAAGCCUGAUCCAGCCAUGCCGCGUGUGUGAAGAAGGUCUUCGGAUUGUAAAGCACUUUAAGUUGGGAGGAAGGGUUGUAGAUUAAUACUCUGCAAUUUUGACGUUACCGACAGAAUAAGCACCG
rnacentral:rRNA from 1 species